rnacentral:lncRNA from 1 species
ACGUCACAAAGGCGCCGCUCGCCGCUCGCAGAGCGUUCCGCGAGCUGCGGGCCGGGCCCCGGCGGAGCGACGCUCCUCCGGUGCGCGUCGCGCCUCUCCGCCGCCGCCGCUGCCUCUCGGUCGCCAAGGCUCGGGCCGUUGAGGGCGAGUUAACAAGUUACGACCUCGGCCAAAGCCGGACGAGCCCACGCGGGAUCUCGCCUCCACACCCCCGGCCCGUGGGGACCGCGAUGCAGCGAAAGCUCUACGAGCUCGUGGGGGCGAAGGAAGAGUUUGUCAGGGUGAGGAAGAAGGACCUGGAGCGCCUGACCACCGAGGUGAUGCAGAUUCGGGACUUCCUGCCCCGGAUACUCAACGGGGACGUGCUGGAGAGCUUCCAGAAGCUGAAGAUGCUGGAAAAAAGUGAGUCUUCUCCACCUCGAGCCGUCGGUGCCGGGCGGCCGUCUGUCUCCGCAGGUUCGCCUCCUGCGGGUCGCGGCCGCGGUGAGUGAGCCGGGAGCUGCCCUUAGCGUUUUCCCGAUGACGCUGGGGAGACAGACACGGACAGAGAAGCCGGCUCGCCUGUGCGCUUGUGCCGAGGAAGGGGCGCCAGCUCUCAGGGCAUCUGGCAGCAGCUCUUCUUUCUCCCCUUCCUCGUUGGGCAGGAGGUUUUCGUACUUUUACGACUGAAAAGUUCCAGAAAUUAACUCCUUUCUGACGCGAUUAGGGAUCUUGCUGUGUGGCAGCCCUGCGAGGAGGCAGCCGUGUCUGUGGAAACACUCGUGUCUGGGUUGAGGGCGGGUCCGUUUCUAGCGCUGAUUUAAAUUUCAAGGACGUGUCCAUUCGUCCUGAGGUUUGCACUUAGAUGGACACCAGUUGUCAGUCUAGGGCCCUCUGAGUUCUUGAAGUUAUUUGGACGUGGAUUCCGCCCUUUGCCCUGUCGGGGCUGAGUUCCAGCCGAGUCAGCCCUCGGCAGUCAAGGCUAAGUCAGCGCAGGGCGGUGUUUGCCCUCACGGCCUAGCCGCUGGGGGACGGUGUCUCGGGCCCAGGUCGCAUCUUUAGCGCUUGUCCAGACAAGAAGGCGUCUGGACGCCACGUGCGCGUCUGAUUCUCUCGCUGGCGUCCUCAGGUGCACGCGCCGCUGCCCGGGGCUGUGCUCUGCGAGACGGGCUCCUGCGGAUUCUGUGCCUCUUGCUUCCUCUCUGGCUGCCAGUGGGGCUGCCCCAUGGAAGGUAUCAGUGGGUGGAAAGGGUCGGGGGUUUCCUCCCGUUCCCUCUGCAGCUGCAAACAUCCCCCCCAGCCCCGAGGGGGGUUGCCUCCCCAGUCCCAGCUCUCACUGGGCUCCAGGAACACUGUUCCCCUCGUCUGUCAGCUCCAGGGCAGCUGCUAGAACGUGGGUGCCUUCCCUCCGCUCGUUGGGUCUCGUUGGGUGUCUCAGCCCUGCGCUCUCCCCCGUGGGCAGUCUCUCCCGUAAAGUCCACACCUGGGGUGCUCGUUCCCCUUGGGACCCUGCCGAAUGUGCUCUGGUCCUGGUUCCCAUGGCUCCGGGUCGCCGGCAUUUUCAUUUUCUCAGCUCUGAUCUCAGGCCCAUUCAGCAACCUUCUGAGAGCAGUUAGCUAUCCUGUGUACGUUUUUAUUUUUGUUUGGUCACACCCAUGGCAUGUAGAAGUUUCUGGGCCAGGGAUGGAGCCCGAGUCACAGCAGCAACCCAAGCCACUGUGGUGCCCAUGCUGGGUCCUUACCCUGCUGUGCCACAAGGGCACUUCUGCAGUUAUCUUUGGGAAGGGAAAGUGCCGACCAGCAGUGGAGUGUGGCAUCCCGCUGGGUAGUCAUGUUUUUAAUGCAAAGUGAUAAAAACGUUUUGGAAAAUACAUCAGUGUGUCAUGAGUUGGUUAGCACAAGUCAGUUUUUGGAGAUUAGUCUUCUGCCAGAAUCAAACUGAAACAGGGCCCACGAGGAGUUCCCAUCGUGGCACAGCGGAAACGAGUCCGACUAGGAACCGUGAGGUGGGUUCGAUCUCUGGCCUGUGCAGUGGGUUAAGGAUCCUGCGUUGCUGUGGCUGUGGCGUAGGCCGGCGACAACAGCUCCGAUUAGACCCCUAGCCUGGGAACUUCCAUGUGUCUUGGGUGCGGCCCUAAAAGGA